UACGGGGGGGGCAAGCGUUGUUCGGAAUUACUGGGCGUAAAGGGCUCGUAGGCGGCCAACUAAGUCGGACGUGAAAUCCCUCGGCUCAACCGGGGAACUGCGUCCGAUACUGGAUGGCUCGAGUCCGGGAGAGGGAUGCGGAAUUCCAGGUGUAGCGGUGAAAUGCGUAGAUAUCUGGAGGAACACCGGUGGCGAAGGCGGCAUCCUGGACCGGCACUGACACUGAGGCACGAAAGCGUGGGGAGCAAACAGG
rnacentral:rRNA from 1 species